AAUCCUAUUCUCUCUCUCUUUCUUCCCUUCACCUUACUAUGAGAGGAUGCCUUUGAUAUGGACUGCAGGCCUACCGUCAUGUGGGAUGCUAGAAGGAACAAGACUUCCUUCAAUCAAGCUGGAUAUUCUAUGGAUUUACGCAUAAGGAUAGAAAAGAAACCAACAAUGUAUGGCCUCUUGUUGUUGUGUGGUUCUCAGUUAUAGAUAGAUGUUAAGUGGUACGGCAAACAGGAGCGU
rnacentral:lncRNA from 1 species